AGAGUUUGAUCAUGGCUCAGGACGAACGCUGGCGGCGUGCUUAACACAUGCAAGUCGAACGGAAAGGCCCUUCGGGGUACUCGAGUGGCGAACGGGUGAGUAACACGUGGGUGAUCUGCCCUGCACUUUGGGAUAAGCCUGGGAAACUGGGUCUAAUACCGAAUAUGACCACGCUCUUCGUGGGGUGUGGUGGAAAGCUUUUGCGGUGUGGGAUGGGCCCGCGGCCUAUCAGCUUGUUGGUGGGGUAAUGGCCUACCAAGGCGACGACGGGUAGCCGGCCUGAGAGGGUGACCGGCCACACUGGGACUGAGAUACGGCCCAGACUCCUACGGGAGGCAGCAGUGGGGAAUAUUGCACAAUGGGCGCAAGCCUGAUGCAGCGACGCCGCGUGAGGGAUGACGGCCUUCGGGUUGUAAACCUCUUUCACCAGGGACGAAGCGCAAGUGACGGUACCUGGAGAAGAAGCACCGGCCAACUACGUGCCAGCAGCCGCGGUAAUACGUAGGGUGCGAGCGUUGUCCGGAAUUACUGGGCGUAAAGAGCUCGUAGGUGGUUUGUCGCGUUGUUCGUGAAAACUCACAGCUUAACUGUGGGCGUGCGGGCGAUACGGGCAGACUAGAGUACUGCAGGGGAGACUGGAAUUCCUGGUGUAGCGGUGGAAUGCGCAGAUAUCAGGAGGAACACCGGUGGCGAAGGCGGGUCUCUGGGCAGUAACUGACGCUGAGGAGCGAAAGCGUGGGGAGCGAACAGGAUUAGAUACCCCGGUAGUCCAA
rnacentral:rRNA from 1 species